AGAGUUUGAUCAUGGCUCAGCAACGAACGUUGGCGGCGUGGAUUAGGCAUGCAAGUCGAACGAGAAAGGUUCCUUCGGGUACCGAGUAAAGUGGCGAACGGGUGAGUAAUGCAUGGAUAACCUGCCUCUGAGAGGGGGACAACUUUCCGAAAGGGGAGCUAAUACCCUAUAACGUCCAGGGCUUCCGGGUUCUGGACCAAAGAUGGCCUCUGACUCAAGCUGUCACUCAGAGAGGGGCUCAUGUCCUAUUAGCUUGUUGGUGAGGUAAAGGCUCACCAAGGCUGCGAUGGGUAGCCGGCCUGAGAGGGUGUCCGGCCACACUGGGACUGAGACACUGCCCAGACUCCUACGGGAGGCUGCAGUCGAGAAUCUUCCGCAAUGCGCGCAAGCGUGACGGAGCGACGCCGCGUGGGUGAUGAAGGCCUUCGGGUUGUAAAGCCCUGUUUCCCGCUAAGAAAAGCAGGCGGUGAAUAGCUGUCCUGCCUGACGUCAGCGGGGGAGGAAGCACCGGCUAAAUACGUGCCAGCAGCCGCGGUAAUACGUAUGGUGCAAACGUUGUUCGGAAUCAUUGGGCAUAAAGAGCACGUAGGCGGCUUGGCAAGUCCGACUGUGAAAUCCCCCGG
rnacentral:rRNA from 1 species